CUCCCGGUCUCCCGAUUUUUAUCAAAUUCUCCCGAUUUUUCCGAAUAUUCAGGAAAUAUCAUAAAAACUAUUAUAAAUAUACUGUUUUUAACAACAUAAUUGUCUGUCUUGACCAUUUUUGAAGUUGCUUUAUGGCAAUUUAUAGGAUCACUUAUAACAACAUAUUCCCAAAAUGCAGGAAACGCCAUUUCAGAAGACUUAAUUUUUAUUAAUUUUUUCCAGAAGAACUAGAUUUCA